rnacentral:rRNA from 1 species
UACGUAGGGGGCGAGCGUUGUCCGGAUUUAUUGGGCGUAAAGAGCUCGUAGGCGGUUUGGUAAGUUUGAUGUGAAAUCUCCAGGCUCAACUUGGAGGGGUCAUUCGAUACUGCCAUGACUAGAGUUCGGUAGGGGAGUGUGGAAUUCCUGGUGGAGCGGUGAAAUGCGCAGAUAUCAGGAGGAACACCCGUAGCGAAGGCGGCACUCUGGGCCGGAACUGACGCUGAGGAGCGAAAGCGUGGGGAGCGAACAGG